GGUUGAUGAAUAUGUUUGGGGGUCUUGGGAUUGGAAGCCCUGCCGUUCCUGUCAGAUCAGAUGUGCCCCCGGGAGAACUGUAUGCCACUUAGCUCUCACAGCUACAAGAAAUGGGCUUCUUUGAUACCCGAGAGAAUAUACAGGCACUGAUAGCCACUGCAGGGAAUGUUCAUGCUGCAGUGGAGCGGCUUUUGGGGAACCCCGCUAGCAGAAGCAGCAAAAGCACAAUUUUCACGUGAUUACAGUGAUAACCUUGCUCUUAUCCGGGCUUAUGAGGCCUGGAAAGAAGUUGAAAGAGACGUAGCUGGAUAUGAAUACUGUUGGAAGAAUUUUUUUUCUACUCAAUCAAUGAAAGCUAUUGAUGCUCUGUAAAGGGAGUUCUACUCUUCACUUAAGGAAUAUGUUUUAAAUUUUAAUGCUAAGUGGAUGUGAAUUGGAUGAUUAUAUAGAUUACAAGCGGAUUUUUAAUUGAACGAAUAUGUAGUUUGGAAUUACUUGUGGAUGAAAAUUUAUAAUAGUUGCUGACUUUAA